rnacentral:rRNA from 1 species
AGAGCGAACGCUGGCGGCAGGCUUAACACAUGCAAGUCGAGCGGGCGUAGCAAUACGUCAGCGGCAGACGGGUGAGUAACGCGUGGGAACAUACCUUUUGGUUCGGAACAACACAGGGAAACUUGUGCUAAUACCGAAUAAGCCCUUACGGGGAAAGAUUUAUCGCCGAAAGAUUGGCCCGCGUCUGAUUAGCUUGUUGGUGAGGUAACGGCUCACCAAGGCGACGAUCAGUAGCUGGUCUGAGAGGAUGAUCAGCCACAUUGGGACUGAGACACGGCCCAAAACUCCUACGGGAGGCAGCAGUGGGGAAUAUUGGACAAUGGGCGCAAGCCUGAUCCAGCCAUGCCGCGUGAGUGAUGAAGGCCCUAGGGUUGUAAAGCUCUUUUGUGCGGGAAGAUAAUGACGGUACCGCAAGAAUAAGCCCCGGCUAACUUCGUGCCAGCAGCCGC